rnacentral:rRNA from 1 species
GAUGAACGCUGGCGGCGUGCCUAAUACAUGCAAGUCGAGCGAACAGAUGAGGAGCUUGCUCCUCUGACGUUAGCGGCGGACGGGUGAGUAACACGUGGAUAACCUACCUAUAAGACUGGGAUAACUACGGGAAACCGGAGCUAAUACCGGAUAAUAUAUUGAACCGCAUGGUUCAAUAGUGAAAGACGGUUUUGCUGUCACUUCUAGAUGGAUCCGCGCCGCAUUAGCUAGUUGGUAAGGUAAAGGCUUACCAAGGCAACGAUGCGUAGCCGACCUGAGGGGGUGAUCGGCCACACUGGAACUGAGACACGGUCCAGACUCCUACGGGAGGCAGCAGUAGGGAAUCUUCCGCAAUGGGCGAAAGCCUGACGGAGCAACGCCGCGUGAGUGAUGAAGGUCUUCGGAUCGUAAAACUCUGUUAUCAGGGAAGAACAAAUGUGUAAGUAACUAUGCACGUCUUGACGGUACCUAAUCAGAAAGCCACGGCUAACUACGUG